rnacentral:lncRNA from 1 species
AUUGUCUUUUUUUGUUUGAAUUUUCUUACCAGUUCUAAUCCAUUUUUUAAGUCCAACAUAUUGGAGGUAUUCAAUUUUGAUUCCAAUGCACUGACCCAAUGCACAUCAUAUUUGUUCAUGCAAUCUACAAUAACAUGAUAGAAAUUUUUCAUAUCCGAUGGAUAUAUCAAAUAUUCUUCUGGUCCUCUACAUUGUUACACUAUCCCAUGGUGGUAAGCUAUUUCAAAAGAUGCUUUUUUUUAUUGAUACGACCAUGUCUUUAUCAAAACUGAGCUCAUCGUCAGAUGUCAAUUCAGAUGCUGACUGUACCUAUCAUUUUACUUAUUCUACAAAUUCCUUUCAGAAUAAACUUGUAUAGGAGAAUUCGAAUAUAGGGAAAGACUAAAUGCAUGAGCUUUACUUAUUAAGAUCACACAAUUAAUUAUAUUCCAAACCACUAAAAUACUAAAAAAUACUACAAUACCUCCUCCCACUAACAAUAUUCCUUCAUCAAUUGAUAACAACAGUGUGCAAUCUUGCACUCUCAAAAGACUGCUCAAAACACAAUAAUAUCCAUCCAACAUCAGGAAAACAGACUUCACUUCAACCAAUCUGGAUUCACAAAAUUUUUAUAAUCAAAGACUUUCUCUGUCCAAAAUAUACACAACUCUCAAUAAACAUCAAUCAUAAUCUUCCAUUCAUAAUCAAUCUUUUAAUAACUUCUCAUAUAAUUCAAUCACAUAAUACCCCAAUUAUAUAAUCAAUAACUCAUAAAUCAAUCUCUGAUUUAUUCUAUAGAUCCACUUCUCAGUAUUCAAAAACUAUCGAUUACUCUUCAACAAUAAAGAAAAAAAAAACAAAGAAGUUGCACCAAGCUUACCCCAGCUCAUGACUAUCACAAUUUGGCAUCUCGACAAACUUCUACAAUUCUUAUAUAAUUGCUCAUGAUUUCCAGAUUCUAAUCAUAAUCUUGUAAUUAACCGCUUUUAAUAACUAAAUCAAUCAUCCGUCCUCCUGAACUGACUAUUCUAUGGACUAUUAAUCUAUUUUACCAAUAUCUUAUAAAAAUGAACUAA